AUACCUCAACUCUCAUGGCGUGCCAUGAUGAGCUUGGACUUUGGGGGUCUUGCUGGCCUUGUGGUCGGCUCCUCUCAAACAAAUCAGCUUGCCAGUGUUUGGUGGCGUCACAGGUGUGAUAACUAUCUACGCUUGUGGUUUUCCACCAGGUAACCUUCAGCGAUGGAGGUUUGGCUGGGGCUUAUAGACCGUCUCUCCUCAGUGAGGACAGCUCUUUGAAC
rnacentral:misc_RNA from 1 species